rnacentral:rRNA from 1 species
UAGUCCACGCCGUAAACUAUGGAUACUAGGCGUUCGGAGUGUUAACCCUCUGAGUGCCGGAGCUCACGCAUUAAGUAUCCCGCCUGGGGAGUACGGUCGCAAGGCUAAAACUCAAAGGAAUUGACGGGGGCCCGCACAAGCGGUGGAGUAUGUGGUUUAAUUCGACGCAACGCGCAGAACCUUACCCAGACCUGACAUCCACUGACCGCUAUAGAGAUAUAGUUUUCCCUUCGGGGACAGUGAGACAGGUGCUGCAUGGCUGUCGUCAGCUCGUGUUGUGAAAUGUUCGGUUAAGUCCGGCAACGAGCGCAACCCUUGUCCUUAUUUGCCAGCACAUAAUGGUGGGAACUCUAAGGAGACUGACGGUGACAAACCGUAGGAAGGUGGGGACGACGUCAAGUCAUCAUGGCCCUUACGGGGUGGGCUACAAACGUGCUACAAUGGUCGGUACAAAGGGCGGCGAACCAGCAAUGGUAAGCGAAUCCCAAAAACCGAUCGUAGUCCGGAUUGGGGUCUGCAACUCGACCCCA